UCCAUCCCAACAUCUACAGACAGACAAGAGUGGUUGUUCCACUUUUACGGUGGAUACAGUGGAUCUGGCACUGGCCAACUCUGACUACCAGGAAUUUUUGACAACUUCAUUCAAGCUGCAGGAAGAAGCAACAGGAGCCACAAUCUGGGAAUCUGCCAACACCAGCAUCACUGCGGAGCAAGUGUUGAUGGAAUUUGUUGAUUUCAAUCCAUUCUACAAACCUGGAUUCCCAUAUACAGGCAAGAUGCACUGUUGCAUCGGUGACUUUCCCCUCCAAAACAAAACUGUUUACCUGACUGUGGACGUCAAUGAUGUGGAGACCCAUUGGUCAUAAGUCACAGAUGAGAACGGUGAUCCUAUUUCUUGCUAAACACAACCCACUGGAAUGACACUCUGGUUUCUCUGAGGGGUCCCUGAUGACCGCAUUCAUAUGGUUGUGUGCUGCCUGGCGCUGACCCCCUCGCUGCACAUCUGUGUGCUUAAGGGCAGG